UAAGGAAUUGGGAUUUGAUUCGAUGCACUCUGGAAGCCGCUGAAGGUCCGUAGGUUACAGAAUAUAAUGAUCGGGACGGAAUUGGAGAAGGAAAGGACAUCAUGCAGAGAUCCUGGACUUGGACCUGGACGUAGUAACUGAUGAGACUUUUGUUGACUCUUUAUGGGGAAGGGAAUAAAUCAGGUUUGGUUGCUUGCAAUCAAGGGAUCCUAACCAAUACCCCAUUAUAUAUUGCUGAAUGAAAAAGGCAAGUCAUAAAACAGUAUGGAGGAGAGUAGAUCAAAAUGGAGGACUGAGCACACACUCUAGCAUCCUGCUCCUAUUCUAAAUAUUUGGAAAUGACAGAAGUGAUAUAUUUUUAAAAGAAAUAAAUAUAGUGCUUGAAAACUACAAGAGAUACUCCCAGUAGACCUAGAAUUAUGAGGACUCUGUAAAAGAAGGAAGGCAAAUGUGAUUGGAAAGACAAAGGAAACCAAACCCUUGAAUCACACAAGCAGGAAAAAAAUGCUACAAAAGCUGGAGGCAUCUUGGAGGAGAGGAUGUUUCAAGCUUAGAGAUAACAGAAACUUGUAGCAAAAGAGAACCAAGGGUGAUUGCUUGAAGGAUGAAACAAGGGUAAGUGUGUGAGGAGAAGCCCUUGGGCUACACAGGCAAGGCCCCUUGGAAAGCAAGGAAUUCUCCUACCCCCAGAAGACUACCUACCAGUGCACCCUGUCCAGCAGCAUGUCGACGGCAUCCUGACCUCAACACUGAGUGCAACACUG